rnacentral:rRNA from 1 species
UCAGGCCUAACACAUGCAAGUCGAACGAACUCUUCGGAGUUAGUGGCGGACGGGUGAGUAACACGUGGGAACGUGCCUUUAGGUUCGGAAUAACUCAGGGAAACUUGUGCUAAUACCGAAUGUGCCCUUCGGGGGAAAGAUUUAUCGCCUUUAGAGCGGCCCGCGUCUGAUUAGCUAGUUGGUGAGGUAAAGGCUCACCAAGGCGACGAUCAGUAGCUGGUCUGAGAGGAUGAUCAGCCACAUUGGGACUGAGACACGGCCCAAACUCCUACGGGAGGCAGCAGUGGGGAAUCUUGCGCAAUGGGCGAAAGCCUGACGCAGCCAUGCCGCGUGAAUGAUGAAGGUCUUAGGAUUGUAAAAUUCUUUCGCCGGGGACGAUAAUGACGGUACCCGGAGAAGAAGCCCCGGUUAACUUCGUGCCAGCAGCCGCGGUAAUACGAAGGGGGCUAGCGUUGCUCGGAAUUACUGGGCGUAAAGGGAGCGUAGGCGGACAUUUAAGUCAGGGGUGAAAUCCCGGGGCUCAACCUCGGAAUUGCCUUUGAUACUGGGUGUCUUGAGUAUGAGAGAGGUGUGUGGAACUCCGAGUGUAGAGGUGAAAUUCGUAGAUAUUCGGAAGAACACCAGUGGCGAAGGCGACACACUGGCUCAUU